UAAGCUUGUCGAAUUGCACUGACCUUAUCCCAUCAGGAAAAUCUCAAGUGAAGAAAUUUUGUGAAGAAGAAAAUUGUCAGUCAUUUAAAAAAUAUAUUAUUUGUUACAAGAAUUCGUUAAAACAUAUUGUAAUUAAAGCAAAAACGAAGCAAGAGUCGAUGUUGAAAUUUGU